rnacentral:lncRNA from 1 species
GCCCCCUCAGCCCCUGCAUAACUUCGCCCCUGAUUAGGUCUAAUGCCGUUUAGGUACUGAUGUUAUCGUUAGUUCAGCCCUAAUCAAACGCAUAUUCCAAAAUUUAUCAGACGUUGUAAGAUUUAUCUCACAUUUUUAGCUAAUAAUUAACAUAAUUUCAUGAGUAGAGUUACUAUGUUAUCGAAAGUAUAGAGGAUUUGAUACUUCUGACUUUUUAACCCUUAGAUCAUACUUUUUAAUCAUUUUUAAUCUUUGGAUUAAUACUAUUACCCUAUGGGAACCACUCAAGCUUAGAAUACUACUCAACUCUAGGGGGGACCGCAAUCAUUCCAACCGCACAAUUCUUGAUCCAAUAAUCAAAAAUCGAAAACAUCAAAUUUUCUAUGCUUCUGAUAAUAUAUUAGCUCUACACUAAUUUCGUUACCAAUUGUAAUAAUUUGAUCCUUUAUAGGAAUAACUCGUCAGGCUCUGUACCAUGGAUCGGACAAAAAUUUGCUGGGCAUCGUCCCCAAACUAGUAGUUUGGGGACGAUGCAGGACGAUGCGGCUGGGCGCCACGUGACCCAUCCGACGGUUGCCCUCCUCUCUCUCCCUCUGCUCCUUUCUCUCUCUCUCUCUCUCUUUAUCUCUUAAAACACAUGGCAUCAAUUUUUUUUUUUCUUUCCUUUCAUGGGUGCCAUCGGAUGGGCCAUGUGGCACCCAUCCGCAUUAUCCCCAAACUACAAAUUUUUGUCCCCAUGGAUUCAAAAAUAUUUAAACUCAAUUAUUAAUUUUUGUAUGUCCGUGGUAUAUGAGUCCGCAUUUAAAAAUUUCAUACCCACCCUUCUCACGAAUCUCACCCUCAACAGCCUGUGGGGUCAUUGAUAUUAAUAUAUCGACAAUAAAUCGUGCAUCCAAUUUCCAGGAAGUUUUAGUCAUGCCCGGAAUCAGAAAUUAGUCAGUAAAUUAGCCAAUGAGUCGCAUGNAAACCGAUUCAUGCGAACCAAACAAAAUUAACCGGAUUUGAUCAAACCGAUUCCCAUUCCAUACCCAAAAUGGAUGAACCAAACAAACCCUAAAUAUAAUUGUGACAAUAAAUGACUAUUAGUUAACAGAGCUAUUAAUUUUAAUAUAAUCUUUAAUUUAAUUAAAUAAAAAAAUAUCUAAAAAAUUUAGAAGUUAUGAAAAUACUAAAUAAAAAAUAAAAAUAAACUCAGAGAUGAGAGAGUAUUAUUGCCAAAAAGUUUUUUAAAAAACAGGUUACUCAUCAUACUUUUAAAAUUAAAUAAAAAUAUAUUUUUAAAAUUUUUUAUAUAUAAAGUAUGCAAAUUAUAAAAAUUUUGGAGGGGUCACGGCCCCCUCAGCCCCUGCAUAACUUCGCCCCUGAUUAGGUCUCAUCCCGUUUAGGUACUGAUGUUAUCGUUAGUUCAGCCCUAAUCAAACGAAUAUUCCAAAAUUUAUCAGACGAUGUAAGAUUUAUUUCACAUUUUCAGCUAAUAACAUAAUUUCAUGAGUAGAGUUACUAUACUAUCGAAAGUAUAGAGAAUCUGAUACUUUUCACUUUUUAACCCUUAGGGCCCGUUUGGUUCGAGUUAUGUAAUAUUACAAAGUAUCUCGACAUAUCCAGGUAUUUUGGAUUUCGGCGUGAGAUUACUACUAAUGCUACAUUAGAGCGUUUGGUUUAAUACAGUAAUGUAAUACUAGAUUACAGUGUUUAUAGCAUUAAUAUGUUUGGUUCAGUUUAUAAAAUUUAGUAAUCCUGACAUAAAAGUAUAGUUUUUUUUCAAAAUUGCCCUUGUUGUGGUCAUUUGAAUAUUAUUUUUUGCGAAAAUGACGAAUGGAGGGAAGGAGAUCGUGAUGAUUACUUGGGAGGACGACGCAAUAGAAGAUGAUAGGUGUUCGUGCGAGAGAGAGAGAGAGAGAGAGAGACGUCCAGAGAGAGAGAGCGAGAGAAAGCGGCGUGCGAGAGAGAGGGCCGGGGGGAAGGCGAGAUAGAGAUGAAAAUAAUGCUGUUAAUUAGAUUUGGGGUUGUUGGAGGGUAAAAUUGUCAUUUUACAUAAUAUGUAGUAUUAACGGGUUUUAGUAAUGCAAGAUACACGACCCCCCUCUCGUUAAUAUUUUCGAUGUAAUCCUGCUCGAUUUGUAAUCCUACAUUAACGACUAGAUUACAUAGCGGAUUAACCAAACAUAGUUAUCCUGGCAGGAUUGCCUGUAAUCCUGCCAGGAUAACUCGAACCAAACGCACCCUUAGAUCAGACUUUUUAAUCAUUUUUAAUCUUUGGAUUAAUACUAUUACCCAGUGGGAACCACUCAAGCUUAGAAUACUACUCAACUCUAGGGGGGACCGCAAUCAUUCCAACCGCACAAUUCUUGAUCCAAUAAUCAAAAAUCGAAAAUAUCAAAUUCUCUAUGCUUCCGAUAAUAUAUUAGCUCUACACUAAUUUCGUUACCAAUUGUAAUAAUUUGAUCCUUUAUAGGAAUAACUCGUCAGGCUUUGUACCAUGGAUCGGACAAAAAUUUGCUGGGC